GACGUAGGGCGCGAGCGUUGUCCGGAUUUAUUGGGCGUAAAGGGCUCGUAGGCGGUUUGUCGCGUCGGGGAGUGAAAACACCGGGCUUAACUCGGUGCUUGCUUUCGAUACGGGCAGACUAGAGGUAUGCAGGGGAGAACGGAAUUCCUGGUGUAGCGGUGAAAUGCGCAGAUAUCAGGAGGAACACCGGUGGCGAAGGCGGUUCUCUGGGCAUUACCUGACGCUGAGGAGCGAAAGUGUGGGGAGCGAACAGG
rnacentral:rRNA from 1 species